rnacentral:rRNA from 1 species
CUCGCCAGGGAACUACAAGUUCAAGCUUAAAACCCAAAGGACUUGGCGGUGCUUUAGACCCACCUAGAGGAGCCUGUUCUAGAACCGAUAAUCCCCGUCUAACCUCACCCUCUCUUGCUUAUCCCGCCUAUAUACCGCCGUCGUCAGCUCACCCCGUGAGGGACCAAUAGUAAGCAAAAUUGGUACAACCUAAAACGUCAGGUCGAGGUGUAGCGUAUGAGAGGGAAAGAAAUGGGCUACAUUCACUGAAUCAGUGAACCACGGAAGAUGAAAUGAAAUGAACAUCCUAAGGAGGAUUUAGAAGUAAGAGGGGAAUAGAGAGCCCCCCUGAAACUGGCCCUGAAGCGCGCACACACCGCCCGUCACUCUCCCCGAACAAUAAGACUACAACUAAAUAAAAAGACAGCCACACACAAGGGGAGGCAAGUCGUAACAUGGUAAGUGUACCGGAAGGUGCACUUGGAAUAAAC